UUUUUUUUUGAUAAGGUAAAUUGUAUUAAUCAAAAGGGAGAGAACUCCCGUAUACAGGAAAUAUAUCAAAAAGUAGAGAAUUUACAUCAGAACAUGAUUCUCUACAAAAGACGCCCAAUCUUCUAUACAAGCAGGGGCCAUAUGAGUGCACCAAAAAGCUAUCAAAGAUAAAAGACUAUUCUUAAGAUGUGAAAAAGGAGACUCAAUCCCCUACAAAUUCAUCACUAUAAUCUGUAGUCCCAGCAAAUUGUUUUGGAUUGCCAAUAAUCCUGUGAUAUAUAUUUCAGUUAAUUGGCAUUUUUUGUUUGAGAUUGGGCAACACUAAAAUGAGACAGCUCGAUACUUCUCUUCUACAACAGUAGGCAUACUUCAGUUUUCAUCAAAAUAUCAGAAAAGAACUACAUUCAUUUUGCUAAUCCCAAUAGAAGGAUUAAAAAAAAGAAACAGCAAUAGAUAACAUAAAGAAAGAAACCUACAAAUUACAUAUAUUGAACAAAAUGAACAAAUGAAAACAGAAAAAAUUUACCUUCACAGUGCCAAAUUUUUGGAAAACGCUCUUUAAGUCUUCACGCAUAACAACGUCCUUGUUGUCUUUGCAAGCAGCAAUUGAUAAUUUUUCUUCAGCAGGAGCUUGAUCAUCCUCUUCAGUUGGACUUUCCACGGAUUUCUCUAUAGCUUCAGGAUUCUGAACAUCAGUCUCCCCACUUCCAUUCUCUACAUCUUUUUCAUCACCCUUCUCAUUAUUGUCUUCAUCUUUAUCUUCGGGCACCUUCUCUUCUGUCACUUUAACAUUGUCUUUUGUUGUUUCUUUAUUGCCUUCUGUUUCGGGAGCACUUGCGCUUUCAGCUGCCGCUUGAUGAUUACCAUUUUGUUCUGUAGAGCUUUUUCUCUUCAACUUAAAUGCAAUGAUCAAGCCCUUAGGAUAGCUGCCACAAUCACAUCCAUCAUGUUAACACCACAUGGCAAGCACUAACAAAAUACCAAAUUAGUAAGGACUCACUACUUAGCGGUAGCAUCAUACUCACUCUGGUUCAGGCUUCGCAUUAUUUUUACUAUUUGGACCAAGAUGAGGACGGUUAUGCUCAACUUCUUUCUCUUCAUUGGCUCUUUCUACAUCGAAAUCUUUCCUGAAUAACAGCAAACCAGUGAUAUGUAUGAGCAACCAUUGAAAGUAAUUUGUGAAUGGAAUGUCUCGAACUUGUAUCAGUGAAAACUUAUAUUCGAAGCAGUGGCCAUCAAAAUGAACAGUAUCUUCCAUUGGAAUCAAGUCAUAAUUAUGAUGCAAGAUUGUGACAAAAUAAUAGAUUCUACUUAAUUACUCAAAUGAGCCUACUAGGUUACAUAGCCAAAGUUUGGACAAGUUUAACCUAAAGAGAAAAUUUGAACCCUAACACAGCAAAGCCUAGACAAAUAGAAUACAAGAUCCAUACUUUCCCAGGACAACUCAGGUUAAUAUACAUCAUAGAUAUCUUGGCCCUAGUGACAUAAUGACUCCCCCAUGCCCCCGCCCCAAAAAAAAAUAAAAAAUUGUAUGAGUUGGAUUUGUUUAAACAAAAUAUAUAGUAUGAGUUUGGUAACAUAUGUUGAAAAUAAUGGUUGGUAGGUGUUAACAAAGUAUAAAAAAUGUCAUCGCAAAUACAGAAAAUGUGCAGUAGUGUUAUGUAUUGAUAUAUUCGAAUUUUUGGAAUUGGACUUUUCCAUCUACCAAAAACGUGAUGUUUUUAGGCAGACUAAAAGGGAAAAAGAAGGUGAAACAAAAAGCAAUAGGUGAGGAAUAUAAAAGAGGUGCAGUCUUCCCUUCUACAUCCUGGGGUCCAAUAUUGCAAAAGGAAGUCCAGCCAAACAAGCAAAACUAUAGAUUAUACAAGAGCAGAAGACGUUCCUACGAAUGAGCAUCAGCUUCCUCUCCCGUUCUUUCUGUUGCCAAGUUGGAUUUUGGUUUAAAAUAUAGGGAAAACAAUGAAGGUAGAAGUCUACCAAUGUAUAAAAACUGUUUGUAGUGCUAGUUCAUAUAGACAAUAUGUCACUAGAAGUUGUUAACUCCAACUCCAAAAAUAACAUAGGAACCAAAGUGCCCCCCCCCCCCUCCCUGUUGUCACCGUUUUAUAGGAAGUAACACCAAAGGAAAUACUAUCUUACUUUGGUUUCAGUUCUAAUUCGACUCCUUCAUAAACCAAGUUUUGCUUCACAACAUUAGCCGCAUCUUCCUCACUGGCGAACUCAACCAGAGCAGUGCCACAAAACAUCCUUUUGUCAGCUACAUGACGAGGCAGUCUCACACUGUUAACCUAAAAGAAGAAGAAAGCAAAAAAAUCAUUGAACAGGCAGCAACAUUUUAUUAUCUCGGAUAUCUUUUUUUCAUGCAAUACUAUUUUGGAUACCGAUGCAAGCAAUGUGAUGUAAAAAAAAUUGCAGCAGUAAGGCAGAAAUAUGGAUAACAUCUAGAAAGACACAAAAUAAAUAAACUGUUCUUUGAAGAUCGGAACAAUUUCAACAGACGCUGAUCAUGCGAACCAGUGUAGAGAAGUUUUAUUUUCUUAAUCUACCUCAUCCCAGCCCAUCCCACUCUUUCCCCCUUUUACAAAAGAGUAACCUGUUUAACAAAUUUGGAUAAAGAUACCAAAUUUCAUCAUAGGUAAAACACCAACAAAGUAAGGCAAGUGCAAAGUUAGACACCUUGCCAUGCUGACCAAAGAAGGACUCCACAUCUUCAAGCUUGACACUGUAUUCCAAUGGGGAUGCAGCAAUUGUCCUGACAUCUAUUUGCUCUAUAACCUCCUCAGGCUUCGAAAGCUCUGUCACUCUACCAACACGUUUCCCUAUAACAUAAAUCGGCUCAAAUCAGCCCAUUUACUAUUAUGUCAUUCAGUAGAGAUCAAAGAGAGCAACACAAAUUAGCAAAACCAAACAAAGUCACCAACUACAAGGCUGCGCCACCUCAAGGCGAAAUUAUUAAGAAAAACAAAGACACUUACCAUCUUCCGAAAUCUUAAGAAAAGAAGAAGCCUUUAAAGCUUCAGCAACAGCUUGUAUAGUAUCAUCUGAUAUCUCUUCCUGCUUUGAAGCUCCCAAACCCAAAUGAUACCUCAUCCGUGAAAACGAACAUAUCAAAGCCAAACUUACCACUAUAAAGCUUUAGUUAAGUAUUACAAUACAUUUUGUCAACAAAAACAAUGCCUUGAUGUCAAUCUAGUUGGGUUUCUGAAUCCCUAAUAUAUAUUUGGGUUAAUUCCAUUCCAGUACCCAAUAUUCUGAGGUUGAAAAUUGACUAGUUUUGUUUGCCUGUCAACCUACUACAACACUCCUCCUUUAUCUGGUUUGCCACCUCGAAACUAUUCAAAAAAUAUACAAUUCCAUAUUUAGGUGAGUUUUAAAACAUACAAGCCCUUGUACAUAUACUUACUAUAUCUCAAAAGACUUGCAUAACUUCACAUCAUUAACAACAUUCUUCCAAAACCUUAACAAUUUUACUAAUGUUUUUAAUGAUAUUUAUUGUUAAAGAGUUAAUCUUUAGUACAGUAUCACAUAAAUCAAAGCUAAAGUUCCCAAUAGUGAGCCUUUAUUUAAGUACGAGUACAACACACACAAUUCCUUGUGCAUAUGCUACCUCUUUCCAAACAACUUAUUCACAAGAUCAACAACAUUUUUCCAAGACAUUAAAAAUUCUACUUAAAUUUUUUCAUGAUUUAUAUUGUUAAAGAUUGACUCUUUAGUACAAAUGACAAAUUAAAAAAUGGAAUAAACGAUCAGAUAAGAGUACAUAUAUGGGGUAAAAAAGGAUACACCCAUCUUCACUUUCAUCAACAGUUUUCUUAAGAAACCCAUCUUUUGGAAGAUUACUAUCACUGAAGUAAAACUCAACCUGCAAUGAAAAGGGUUGGGGGAGAAAAUCAGAUAGACGAAAAGGUGCAACUGUUUUAAGGAUAUCGAAAACCCAGAAAGGCUAACCUGUCGAAUGACCUUCUUGAUUGUUUCUUCGUUCAAAGUUUUGGCCAUUAGGUACAAGCGAAGACAGAAAGCAGCGUCUAGGGUUUGGGAAAUAAGGGGUUUAGUUAUCAAAUGAGUUGUUUUCAAGUUUGUAUAUAUAAUAAUAACUUGACCCGCAAAACCGGAUGUUUAUUAGGCCUAUAAUUGGUCGGGUCCGGAUCAUUCUAACAUUUUGAGCAUUAAAUUGCACCGGCGUCUAUUUGGUCGCCCUCAUUUAACCUACACUCAUUUUUAAAAAAGUUUAAACUUGUACUCAUUUUUUAAACAACUUCAGCCCCCUUUCUCCUCCUCCUUCUCCUCCUUCGUUUUCUUCUUCUUCUUUCUUCUACUGAUGUUGGUGUUGCUAUGAAACUUCAGUUCAUGGGAUGAUUGUCAUAAAUAUAUUUAUCAGAUUAUUUAAAGAUAAAUUAUAAAUAAUUACGUAAGUUAGUAGAUAAUAAUUUGUGAAUAUUUUCACGUACUAAGUUAGUAGAGAAUGAUAAUUCUGUUCUUUUCACGUUUAUUGUUUCCAAAAUUUACGAUUUGGAUACUAUUUGCAAUCUGAUUAUUUAUCUAGUAUGUUAGAAAGUUUUUUUCAAAAACUUUAGCUUAUAUAGUGCUGAAGUUUUUACAAAUGAACUAAAUAAUUUCAGCAUCUUCUGCUGAAGUUUUUGAAAAAACUUUAUGACAAAACUAAUGAAUCCAGGACAAAAAAGCUUCAGCUUUUAGUGCUGAAGUUUUUACAAAUGAACUAAAUAACUUCAGCAUAUUCUGCUGAAGUUUUUGAAAAAGGUUAUCCAGGACAAAAAAACUUCAACUUAUUUAUUGCUGAAGUUUUUAUAAAUGAACUAAAUAACUUCAGCAUCUUCUGCUGAAGUUUUUGAAAAAACUUAAUGACAAAACUAAUGAAUCGAGGACAAAAAAAACUUCAGCUUAUUUAGUGCAAUUACAAACAAAAACUUCAGCAAAUAGAGAACAAAACUUCAGCUACUAUGCUUAAGUUCAACAAUUACAAACAAAAAUUUCAGUAAAUAGAGAACAAAACUUCAGCUACUAUGCUUAACUUCAGCAAUUACAAACAAAAACUCUAGCACACUUGGUUCAUCACACUUGCUACUUUAGGCCCGUCUACUAGAAUGCUGAAGUUUUGCGUGAUUGUCUUUGCUACUUCAGCCCCGUAUGUUGAAGUUACGCGNNNNNNNNNNNNNNNNNNNNNNNNNUUAGGAAAUCUUACGGAAAUAUCACAAAUAAGUCCUAACUUAUCAAUCUUUAGUCAUUAAUUAUAAACUUACCAAAGUUACUCAAGUACAUACAAAAAUCGAAAGCCCAAAUAAAUAAUGAUUCUUUCUCUCCAAGAAUCACAAAUAAAAAUCUCCUUCCAUAUUUUUAAGCGUGAUCAACAACAUUAGAUACAAGACGGAAAGAAAAUUUCAUGGAUGAGGUAGCAAAUAAGGUGAUGAAAUACAAAAAAAAAAUACAAGAUUUCAAAAAUCUAAGCAGAAAGAGACCUUUUUCAAUUGGUAAGGUUGAAAUUCAUUAAAAAUAUAUAGAUGACUCAAUAUACAAAAUUUGAAGAAGAUUGGAGAUGAUUUGGACUGAUUUGGUAUUAAAACUUGUAGGUAAAUCGAGUUCAAAAAAUUCUUCUGUUAUCACGUAUGUAUCUCACACACAAGUACACAGGAAUAUACAUGUGAUACAUAUUUGAUACAAAUAUGAUACGUAUAUGAUACACAUAUUAUAUAUAGUGAGAUACACAUUAUUUUUUCCAUGUUCAUCUUCUACUUCAAUUUCCAAUUCAAACCACCUCAAAACUCCACCAAAUCAUUCCAAAACUGAUAUUUAAACUCCUUAAGAUGUAUUCAAUCUAUUCAAACAAUACUCACUCUAAAGAAAGUAAGAAUUUGACAUUUUUCUUUGCUACAAAUAGCUAAUUGGCAAAUAUUGAUAAUAUUUUAUGAAAUGACUAAUUUUUGUAUUAACUUACUUAUGGGCUGACAUAACUCGUACUUUCCCAGGAAAAAAAUAUUACUUAUUCUUUUUUGAAUAGUUCAUGUUCAGAAAAGUUAUGUGGCCUGAAUUAGGGAUGUACAUAGUUCGGGUUGGUUCGGAUUUUGCAAUUAGCAAAUCAAACUAAUUGUGUCGGGUUAUUAAAUCUAAAGAUCAAACCAAACCAAUAAAACUUGCGUUUUUCAAUCUCGGAUUUUCUCACGCUAUUCGGGUUAUUCGGGGUUUUUUCGGUAAAAUCUUCGUAGCACAAAACAUAUAACUUGUGCUCAAAAUAUUUCUUUAAUCCUAUUAAGAUAUAAUUAUAUAAGGUAUUUUUCAAGAAAAUAAUACAAAAUAUGAGAUGUGUCAUGGCAUUAUCCUAAAAUAUUCAACAAUAAAAAUAAUAAAAUUAUAUAAUAUAAAUAUUGAUAAUUAAAAAGCCAUAAUAAACAUAAUCUAAAAGUACUAAGUCAUGCUAAAAUAAAUAGACUAAUAAGGGAAUAUUAAGUUCAUGACUAAACGCCAAAGAAAAAUAAAAAUAGGUUAUGCAUUUUUAUCUAAAUUAUUGCAAAACAAAAAAUAGAUAUUCAAUACAUUGCCGUUCGUAGUAUUGAAUUGAAUGUCCUUUGUUAGUAUUAGUAUUGAUUUGAUUUUGGUUUGGGCUUUUGUUAGCAUUAUUUAAGUUACUAAUAUUAAUGGUUAUAAAACAUAUUGGAACAUUCAAAAGUUCUAAGUCCAACCUUGAAAUAUACCUUAAAAAAUAAAAUUAUGAAAAAGUUUAAGAGAUAUUUAUAAAUUACAUCACAAUAAGUAUAUUUAUAUAUUAAAUGUAUUUAAAAAAUUAUAUAUGUAAUGUCGGGUUGGUUUGGUUUCGGUUUGACUCUCUUUAGUUAAAACCAAACCAAUUAUGGUCGGGUUUUUUUCCAAAUCAAACCAAAUCAUAGUCGGGUUCUUUUUCUCGUUUUGACUCGGAUUAUCGGGUUAGUGCGAUUUAUCGAUUUCCUUUGUACACCCCUAGCCUGAAUGUAUGAAAGUGAAACAGUUUUUUUAUUCUCUGUUGCUAAACUAUAUUAGUUAUAAUAAAUUGUUAACAAUUUUUUGUACUUAAAGUAUUUAUACGUAACUGAAAAAUUUUGCAUCUAAAGUUCAAUAUGUUUGAGUAGUAGCAACAAGCAAGUUGUGUAGUUGACAAGAGAAUAAAUAAAUGCAGCGAAUGAAAGAUGGGGGGCGGGGGGCGGAUUGGAGCACUGUAGGUAGAAUAAUUCUAAGUCUAAAGAUAUAUUUUAAGAUUUUUGUCCCAAAAUUUAGUAUUCAAUUUUUAAUGCCACAAAAGAAAAACUAUGGAAUAUUAGAUGAGUUUUACCAUUAAAACGAGUUUCACCACAAAAAAUUCAAAAUAAGUAAGGUGAGUGUAAUAUCAGAAACCAGAAGUGAAAUUGAUGUUAUAAGGCUAAAUUUGAGGGGAGUUCUCUGAAAUUAUCCUUCUUUUUAAUUAUUAUUGCAUUGCGGCCGUCAAAAUUGAAUUCGCACCUACUAUUAUAAAUAACUUUUUUUUUUAAUUUUAAUUUUUCAUCUGGUGUUUGAUACCCGCUUGGAGUUCGACUAAUUUGAAUUCAUCUCGAAAAGUCUCUUUUGGAGAUAAAGUAUCCCUAUUAAAGUCGACCUCUAAUUAAGAUGAAGAGCUACUUAUUACAUCCUCACAAUCUUUGACGGAGUGAAUACGUUUCACCAUCAAAACAAAAUCUCCAAAACAUGUUAUACGUGAAAGAAAUUAUAUGGAUCCAUAGAUUCAUCAUUACAAUAUUUUUCUCAUAUUCACUUGUUACUAAAAGGUGUUGGAGUAAUAUUUGUGUUAAUGUUUCAUGAUUUUUCAUCUCAGCGACUAUUAUGGUUAAGAUUGUGGCCAUAAUCUUUUUGUAUAAGUCUUUACUUGUAUACUAAAUACCUGACUGAUAUCCUACUUAUUAGCCGAUAUUCCACCUAUUUAUUAAUUCACUAAUGUCUAAUAAUUAGUCAUUAUAUCAUGAUCACAUGUGUAUACAAUUUCUUACCUAUUAAACUCUUUUAAUCUAUGGAAGAAUCUUUAUGCAUUUAGAAAAAUCCUUUUAAAUGUAGACUUUUAAGCGAAUUAAGACCUCAUUUUAGUGGUGAAAAAAGAAACAAAUUGUUAGAAAGUUCAUUACGUUCAUAAACUUAGGAGGAACUUUAACUUGUGAAGUAAAAAGCUAUUUUAUCAUUUUUAUUGAUGAUCUUUUUUAAUUCACUUAUGUUUCCUUGAUAAAAAAGUGAUGUAUCUAAACAAAAUUAAAACUAUCUCUACUACGAGAUUAAAAAUAAAUUUGAUAGAAAAAUAAAAAGAAAUUAGAAGUUGUAAAGGUCAAGAACAAGAUUGCAACAACCCAAUAACCAGUGACAUGGCGUAAAAGGACAACCCGGUGCACAAAGCAUCCCGCAUUCACGCAUGGUUCGAGGAAGGUCCGCACACCCUUGGGGUGCGAUAUAGGCAACAUAUUGAUGCAAGCAUCAGUGGCUGAUUCCACGGCUCGAACCCGUGACCUAUAAGUCACACGGAGACAACUUAAUUAUUGCUCCAAGCUCCAAGGAUGCUGCAUGUUGUAGAAGAGGAUAAAGGAUUGAAUCCACAAGAGAAGCUUUACUGUGUGUCUCACAAGUUUGUGGAUCUCAAUCUUACACUUCUGGGUCCACAAAACCGUGAGACAAAAAAAAAGCCUCAUACAACUAGUCUAUUUUCCCAUUCUUUCCUUUCAAAGCUGGAGCAAAUGGAUGGCAGCACAGAGAAUGAAUGUUCAACCUUGACAGUAAAACCUAAAGGAUCAUAUCUCAUUUCUGAUGAUUCUAUCAUUAACCACUCCAACAUUUGACUCUUAUUAGGUUCUAUAAUAUUCCUUUCCCAAAGAUGUACCAAGCAAAAGACCACAAAAUGCAAGUUGACUUGUGAGAAGCUGCAUUCAAUAUUUAAUUUUUUGUUAAAGUAAAUAAACAAAGAGCUCCUCAUCUUAACAAGUCAUCUUUUUCUUCAUCAUUAAAAUUUGACGUUGGUUUUACAAAGCAAGCUUCUCAUGGAACUCCAACCCAUAGUCUCCUAUACCUUAUUAACAAAGAGGUUCAGGCCUUGCAAAGAUCAAUAUGAUCAACUUUUAAUAAGGAGCACAACUCUUUCUAAAGAACACACAACAAUAUAAAAGAUUACCUCGCCCCAUGCCCCAUCCCCUUCUUCUUUUGUCUCCUAUCCUCUCUGCAUUCAUAAGCAGCUUCUCAUUUAGCAAUUUUUUCUAAACAAGGCAUCAAUUGAAACGAAUA
rnacentral:lncRNA from 1 species